rnacentral:rRNA from 1 species
UGAGUAACACGUGGGUAAUCUGCCCUCGGGUGGGGAAUAACUCAGGGAAACCUGGGCUAAUUCCGCAUAAUAUCUUCUUCCCGUAAGGGUUGGAGAUCAAAGCUGGGGACCCUUCGGGGCCUGGCGCCUGGGGAGGAGCCCGCGGCCAAUUAGCUUGUUGGUGAGGUAAUGGCUCACCAAGGCUUCGAUUGGUAGCCGGCCUGAGAGGGCGGACGGCCACACUGGGACUGAGACACGGCCCAGACUCCUACGGGAGGCAGCAGUGGGGAAUUUUUGUCAAUGGGGGAAACCCUGAACAAGCAACGCCGCGUGAAGGACGAAGACCUUCGGGUUGUAAACUUCUGUCGGAGGGGACGAAAGCAGUUGCGGUUAAUACCCAUGAUUGUUGACGGUACCCUACGAGGAAGCCCCGGCUAACUCCGUGCCAGCAGCCGCGGUAAUACGGGGGGGGCAAGCGUUGUUCGGAAUUAUUGGGCGUAAAGGGCGCGCAGGCGGGCGGGCAAGUCUCUCGUGAAAGCCCA